AGGACUCAGAGAUUGUCGUGGUGAGGAGGCUGGCAGCACGCCAGCCCCACCACCCCAUGUCCCUCUGCCUCCCUAGCCCUUCCUGGGCUGGCUUGCAUCCCAGGUGGUGAUUUUCAGCUGUCUUCACAAAUCAUGUCCAAGUGUGGGUGAACUAUGGCUGAUGGUCCUGAGAAGGGGCAGACCCAUGUUUCCGAGCUGCAGCUGAUGGCCCUGAUCUCACAAGUGAAAAUAAAAGUUUCUGCAGAAUCCACUAUUUGCCUGAAAUCUCAGUCUCGUGGAUUAUCCCAGUUAUGAACAGGCACUCAGAGGCUGUGGUGAAGAC